rnacentral:piRNA from 1 species
CUUCUCUGGACAGUGCCCUCCC